UGGGGAAUAUUGGACAAUGGGGGCAACCCUGAUCCAGCCAUGCCGCGUGUGUGAAGAAGGCCUUUUGGUUGUAAAGCACUUUAAGCAGGGAGGAGAGGCUAAUGGUUAAUACCCAUUAGAUUAGACGUUACCUGCAGAAUAAGCACCGGCUAACUCUGUGCCAGCAGCCGCGGUAAUACAGAGGGUGCGAGCGUUAAUCGGAAUUACUGGGCGUAAAGCGAGUGUAGGUGGCUCAUUAAGUCACAUGUGAAAUCCCCGGGCUUAACCUGGGAACUGCAUGUGAUACUGGUGGUGCUAGAAUAUGUGAGAGGGAAGUAGAAUUCCCAGGUGUAGCGGUGAAAUGCGUAGAGAUCUGGAGGAAUACCGAUGGCGAAGGCAGCUUCCUGGCAUAAUAUUGACACUGAGAUUCGAGAGCGUGGGUAGCAAAACAGGAUUAGAUACCCUGGUAGUCCACGCCGUAAACGAUGUCUACUAGCCGUUGGGGUCCUUGAGACUUUAGUGGCGCAGUUAACGCGAUAAGUAGACCGCCUGGGGAGUACGGCCGCAAGGUU
rnacentral:rRNA from 1 species